UUUUGUUGUGAUUGCUUCAUUUAAUGCGGUAUUUCUGGCAUUACUACUACAGACCGUAAGGAAUGGAAUCUUCUAGAACGUUCGUUAGGUUGGCAAUGCAUGCUAGAAUAGUUGGUCAUUUACCACUCGGACCUUAAUCGAGUAGGACGCUUGAUACACGUUCGUGCUUGAAGCUGAUAUAGGUUCGUUACGAUUACAAUUAUAAUGUAUGAGCCAGUCGUUUGAGGUUGCUUCAUUACUUAAAAAUCCUUUCACCAGGACCUUUGUGGUGUAGGACGGUUGGACCACGUUGUGUGCUGGAAGGUAGGAUGUACGCCGAGAGUCGCAGAAGCUGCAUGUGUCGUUCAUUUUGAAAGUGUGCU